rnacentral:rRNA from 1 species
UACAGAGGCCCCAAGCGUUACUGAGAAUCACUGGGUUUAAAGGGUGCGUAGGUGGCGCGUUAAGUCCGUUGUGAAAUCCCUGGGCUCAACCCAGGAAUUGCUUCGGAUACUGGCGUGCUUGAGGCCGGUAGGGGUCACUGGAACUGACGGUGGAGCGGUGAAAUGCGUAGAUAUCGUCAGGAACGCCGAUGGUGAAGACAGGUGACUGGGGGUGUGCCGACGCUGAGACGCGAAAGCCAGGGGAGCAAACGGG